GCAGAGAUCGCAUAGCCCGGUAUUGCGGUGGACUUGAAAUCCACUGUCCCUAGGACACGGGGGUUCGAAUCCCUCUCUCUGCGCCA
rnacentral:tRNA from 1 species